rnacentral:rRNA from 1 species
CAGUCGCCACGGGAAUACGUAGGGUGCAAUCGUUAAUCGGAAUUACUGGGCGUAAAGCGUGCGCAGGCGGUUAUAUAAGACAGAUGUGAAAUCCCCGGGCUCAACCUGGGAACUGCAUUUGUGACUGUAUAGCUAGAGUACGGCAGAGGGGGAUGGAAUUCCGCGUGUAGCAGUGAAAUGCGUAGAUAUGCGGAGGAACACCGAUGGCGAAGGCAAUCCCCUGGGCCUGUACUGACGCUCAUGCACGAAAGCGUGGGGAGCAAACAGGAUUAGAUACCCCUGUAGUCCCUGUCUCUUAUAC